rnacentral:rRNA from 1 species
AUUGAACGCUGGCGGCAUGCUUUACACAUGCAAGUCGAACGGUAACAGGCCGCAAGGUGCUGACGAGUGGCGAACGGGUGAGUAAUGCAUCGGAACGUGCCUAGUAGUGGGGGAUAACUACUCGAAAGAGUGGCUAAUACCGCAUGAGAUCUACGGGUGAAAGCAGGGGAUCGCAAGACCUUGUGCUACUAGAGCGGCCGAUGGCAGAUUAGGUAGUUGGUGGGAUAAAAGCUUACCAAGCCGACGAUCUGUAGCUGGUCUGAGAGGACGAUCAGCCACACUGGGACUGAGACACGGCCCAGACUCCUACGGGAGGCAGCAGUGGGGAAUUUUGGACAAUGGGCGCAAGCCUGAUCCAGCAAUGCCGCGUGCAGGAUGAAGGCCUUCGGGUUGUAAACUGCUUUUGUACGGAACGAAAAGCCCUGGAUUAAUACCCUGGGGUCAUGACGGUACCGUAAGAAUAAGCACCGGCUAACUACGUGCCAGCCGCCGCGGUAAAAC